rnacentral:rRNA from 37 species
UUAAGCGACUAAGCGUACACGGUGGAUGCCCUGGCAGUCAGAGGCGAUGAAGGACGUGCUAAUCUGCGAAAAGCGUCGGUAAGGUGAUAUGAACCGUUAUAACCGGCGAUGUCCGAAUGGGGAAACCCAGUGCAAUUCGUUGCACUAUCGUUAACUGAAUACAUAGGUUAACGAGGCGAACCGGGGGAACUGAAACAUCUAAGUACCCCGAGGAAAAGAAAUCAACCGAGAUUCCCCCAGUAGCGGCGAGCGAACGGGGAGCAGCCCAGAGUCUGAAUCAGCUUGUGUGUUAGUGGAACGGUCUGGAAAGUCCGACGGUACAGGGUGAUAGUCCCGUACACCAAAAUGCACAGGCUGUGAACUCGAAGAGUAGGGCGGGACACGUGGUAUCCUGUCUGAAUAUGGGGGGACCAUCCUCCAAGGCUAAAUACUCCUGACUGACCGAUAGUGAACCAGUACCGUGAGGGAAAGGCGAAAAGAACCCCGGCGAGGGGAGUGAAAAAGAACCUGAAACCGUGUACGUACAAGCAGUGGGAGCACCUUCGGGUGUGACUGCGUACCUUUUGUAUAAUGGGUCAGCGACUUAUAUUCUGUAGCAAGGUUAACCGUAUAGGGGAGCCGCAGGGAAACCGAGUCUUAACUGGGCGUUAAGUUGCAGGGUAUAGACCCGAAACCCGGUGAUCUAGCCAUGGGCAGGUUGAAGGUUGGGUAACACUAACUGGAGGACCGAACCGACUAAUGUUGAAAAAUUAGCGGAUGACUUGUGGCUGGGGGUGAAAGGCCAAUCAAACCGGGAGAUAGCUGGUUCUCCCCGAAAGCUAUUUAGGUAGCGCCUCGUGAACUCAUCUUCGGGGGUAGAGCACUGUUUCGGCUAGGGGGUCAUCCCGACUUACCAACCCGAUGCAAACUACGAAUACCGAAGAAUGUUAUCACGGGAGACACACGGCGGGUGCUAACGUCCGUCGUGAAGAGGGAAACAACCCAGACCGCCAGCUAAGGUCCCAAAGUCAUGGUUAAGUGGGAAACGAUGUGGGAAGGCACAGACAGCCAGGAUGUUGGCUUAGAAGCAGCCAUCAUUUAAAGAAAGCGUAAUAGCUCACUGGUCGAGUCGGCCUGCGCGGAAGAUGUAACGGGGCUAAACCAUGCACCGAAGCUGCGGCAGCGACACUAUGUGUUGUUGGGUAGGGGAGCGUUCUGUAAGCCUGCGAAGGUGUGCUGUGAGGCAUGCUGGAGGUAUCAGAAGUGCGAAUGCUGACAUAAGUAACGAUAAAGCGGGUGAAAAGCCCGCUCGCCGGAAGACCAAGGGUUCCUGUCCAACGUUAAUCGGGGCAGGGUGAGUCGACCCCUAAGGCGAGGCCGAAAGGCGUAGUCGAUGGGAAACAGGUUAAUAUUCCUGUACUUGGUGUUACUGCGAAGGGGGGACGGAGAAGGCUAUGUUAGCCGGGCGACGGUUGUCCCGGUUUAAGCAUGUAGGCUGAUUGUCCAGGCAAAUCCGGAUAAUCAAGGCUGAGGUGUGAUGACGAGGCACUACGGUGCUGAAGUAACAAAUGCCCUGCUUCCAGGAAAAGCCUCUAAGCAUCAGGUAACAUUAAAUCGUACCCCAAACCGACACAGGUGGUCAGGUAGAGAAUACCAAGGCGCUUGAGAGAACUCGGGUGAAGGAACUAGGCAAAAUGGUGCCGUAACUUCGGGAGAAGGCACGCUGGUGUGUAGGUGAAGUCCCUGCGGAUGGAGCUGAGACCAGUCGAAGAUACCAGCUGGCUGCAACUGUUUAUUAAAAACACAGCACUGUGCAAACACGAAAGUGGACGUAUACGGUGUGACGCCUGCCCGGUGCCGGAAGGUUAAUUGAUGGGGUUAUCCGUAAGGAGAAGCUCUUGAUCGAAGCCCCGGUAAACGGCGGCCGUAACUAUAACGGUCCUAAGGUAGCGAAAUUCCUUGUCGGGUAAGUUCCGACCUGCACGAAUGGCGUAAUGAUGGCCAGGCUGUCUCCACCCGAGACUCAGUGAAAUUGAACUCGCUGUGAAGAUGCAGUGUACCCGCGGCAAGACGGAAAGACCCCGUGAACCUUUACUAUAGCUUGACACUGAACAUUGAGCCUUGAUGUGUAGGAUAGGUGGGAGGCUUUGAAGCGUGGACGCCAGUCUGCGUGGAGCCAACCUUGAAAUACCACCCUUUAAUGUUUGAUGUUCUAACGUUGGCCCCUGACCGGGGUUGCGGACAGUGUCUGGUGGGUAGUUUGACUGGGGCGGUCUCCUCCCAAAGCGUAACGGAGGAGCACGAAGGUUAGCUAAUCCUGGUCGGACAUCAGGAGGUUAGUGCAAUGGCAUAAGCUAGCUUGACUGCGAGCGUGACGGCGCGAGCAGGUGCGAAAGCAGGUCAUAGUGAUCCGGUGGUUCUGAAUGGAAGGGCCAUCGCUCAACGGAUAAAAGGUACUCCGGGGAUAACAGGCUGAUACCGCCCAAGAGUUCAUAUCGACGGCGGUGUUUGGCACCUCGAUGUCGGCUCAUCACAUCCUGGGGCUGAAGUAGGUCCCAAGGGUAUGGCUGUUCGCCAUUUAAAGUGGUACGCGAGCUGGGUUUAGAACGUCGUGAGACAGUUCGGUCCCUAUCUGCCGUGGGCGCUGGAGAAUUGAGGGGGGCUGCUCCUAGUACGAGAGGACCGGAGUGGACGCAUCACUGGUGUUCGGGUUGUCAUGCCAAUGGCACUGCCCGGUAGCUAAAUGCGGAAGAGAUAAGUGCUGAAAGCAUCUAAGCACGAAACUUGCCCCGAGAUGAGUUCUCCCUGAGACUUUAAGUCUCCUGAAGGAACGUUAAAGACGAUGACGUUGAUAGGCCGGGUGUGUAAGCGCAGCGAUGCGUUGAGCUAACCGGUACUAAUGAACCGUGAGGCUUAACCUU